rnacentral:rRNA from 1 species
CUUGCAGGGAGCGGCAGACGGGUGAGUAACGCGUGGGAACGUGCCCUUCGGUACGGAAUAGCCCUGGGAAACUGGGUGUAAUACCGUAUACGACCUUCGGGUGAAAGAUUUAUCGCCGAAGGAUCGGCCCGCGUUGGAUUAGCUAGUUGGUGGGGUAAAGGCCUACCAAGGCGACGAUCCAUAGCUGUUCUGAGAGGAAGAUCAGCCACACUGGGACUGAGACACGGCCCAGACUCCUACGGGAGGCAGCAGUGGGGAAUAUUGGACAAUGGGCGAAAGCCUGAUCCAGCCAUGCCGCGUGGAUGAAGAAGGCCUUAGGGUUGUAAAGUCCUUUCGAUGGUGAAGAUAAUGACGGUAACCAUAGAAGAAGCCCCGGCUAAUUUCGUGCCAGCAGCCGCGGUAAUACGAAAGGGGCUAGCGUUGUUCGGAAUUACUGGGCGUAAAGCGCACGUAGGCGGCCUUGUAAGUUGGGGGUGAAAUCCCGGGGCUCAACCCCGGAACUGCCUCCAAAACUACAAAGCUAGAGGAUGUGAGAGGAUAGUGGAAUUCCGAGUGUAGAGGUGAAAUUCGUAGAUAUUCGGAAGAACACCAGUGGCGAAGGCGACUGUCUGGCACAUUUCUGACGCUGAGGUGCGAAAGCGUGGGGAGCA